GAUGAACGCUGGCGGCGUGCCUAAUACAUGCAAGUCGAGCGAACAGACGAGGAGCUUGCUCCUCUGACGUUAGCGGCGGACGGGUGAGUAACACGUGGAUAACCUACCUAUAAGACUGGGAUAACUUCGGGACACCGGAGCUAAUACCGUAUAAUAUAUUGAACCGCAUGGUUCAAUAGUGAAAGACGGUUUUGCUGUCACUUAUAGAUGGAUCCCCGCCGCAUUAGCUAGUUGGUAAGGUAACGGCUUACCAAGGCGACUAUGCGUAGCCGACCUGAGAGGGUGAUCGGCCACACGGGAACUGAGACACCGUCCAGACGCCUACGGGAGGCAGCAGUCGGGAAUCUUCCGCAAUGGGCGAAAGCCUGACGGAGCAACGCCGCGUGAGUGAUGAAGGUCUUCGGAUCGUAAAACUCUGUUAUUAGGGAAGAACAAAUGUGGAAGUAGCUGUGCACGGCUUGACGGUACCUGAUCAGAAAGCCACGGCUAACUACGUG
rnacentral:rRNA from 1 species